CAACAGCUCAAAUUUGAAAUCUGGCCCCGUCGGGGCCCGAGUUGUAAUUUGUAGAGGGUGUUUCGGGCGCGAUGCCGGUCUAAGUUCCUUGGAACAGGACGUCGUAGAGGGUGAGAAUCCCGUAUGCGACCGGCGAUCAAGCCCGUGCGAAGCCCCUUCGACGAGUCGAGUUGUUUGGGAAUGCAGCUCAAAAUGGGUGGUAAAUUUCAUCUAAAGCUAAAUACCGGCCAGAGACCGAUAGCGGACAAGUAGAGUGAUCGAAAGAUGAAAAGCACUUUGGAAAGAGAGUCAAACAGUACGUGAAAUUGUUGAAAGGGAAGCGCUUGCAAUCAGACCGGUCCGGAGGCGAUCAGCCGCUGCUCGUCAGCGGUGCACUCGCCUGCGAUCCGGCCAGCAUCGGUUUGGGCGGCGGGACAAAAGUCCCGGGAAUGUAGCUUCUCUCGGGGAGUCUUAUAGCCCGGGUCGCAAUGCCGCCCGCCCGGACCGAGGACCGCGCUUCGGCUAGGAUGCUGGCGUAAUGGUUGCAAGCG
rnacentral:rRNA from 1 species